UGCCAUUGGGAAUGAAAUAAGUGAC
rnacentral:piRNA from 1 species